UGGUUGAUCGCCGGUAGUCAUAUGCUUGUCUCAAAGAUUAAGCCAUGCAUGCAAAGUAUAAGCAAUCUAUACCGUGAAACUGCGAAUGGCUCAUUAAAUCAGUUAUCGUUUAUUUGAUAGUACCUUACUACUUGGAUAACCGUGGUAAUUCUAGAGCUAAUACAUGCUAAAAACCCCGACUUCGGAAGGGGUGUAUUUAUUAGAUAAAAAACCAAUGCCCUUCGGGGCUCCUUGGUGAUUCAUAAUAACUUAACGAAUCGCAUGGCCUUGUGCCGGCGAUGGUUCAUUCAAAUUUCUGCCCUAUCAACUUUCGAUUGUAGAGUAGUGGUCUACAAUGGUUUCAACGGGUAACGGGGAAUUAGGGUUCUAUUCCGGAGAGGGAGCCUGAGAAACGGCUACCACAUCCAAGGAAGGCAGCAGGCGCGCAAAUUACCCAAUCCCGACACGGGGAGGUAGUGACAAUAAAUACUGAUACAGGGCUCUUUUGGGUCUUGUAAUUGGAAUGAGUACAAUUUAAAUCCCUUAACGAGGAACAAUUGGAGGGCAAGUCUGGU
rnacentral:rRNA from 1 species